AUUGAACGCUGGCGGCAUGCCUUACACAUGCAAGUCGAACGGCAGCGGGGGAGAAGCUUGCUUUUCCUGCCGGCGAGUGGCGAACGGGUGAGUAAUACAUCGGAACGUGCCCUGUAGUGGGGGAUAACUAGUCGAAAGAUUAGCUAAUACCGCAUACGACCUGAGGGUGAAAGUGGGGGACCGCAAGGCCUCAUGCUAUAGGAGCGGCCGAUGUCUGAUUAGCUAGUUGGUGGUGGUAAAGGCCUACCAAGGCGACGAUCAGUAGCUGGUCUGAGAGGACGAUCAGCCACACUGGGACUGAGACACGGCCCAGACUCCUACGGGAGGCAGCAGUGGGGAAUUUUGGACAAUGGGCGAAAGCCUGAUCCAGCAAUGCCGCGUGUGUGAAGAAGGCCUUCGGGUUGUAAAGCACUUUUGUCCGGAAAGAAAUGGCUCUGGUUAAUACCUGGGGUCGAUGACGGUACCGGAAGAAUAAGGACCGGCUAGCUACGUGCCAGCCGCCGCAGUAA
rnacentral:rRNA from 1 species